AACUUCGGUUGAUCCUGCCGAAGGCUACUGCUAUUGGAGUUCGAUUAAGCCAUGCGAGUCUAAGGGAUCUUCGGAUCCCUGGCGUAAUGCUCAGUAACACGUGGAUAAUCUACCCUCAGGUGGGGCAUAAACCCGGGAAACUGGGGCCAAUUCCCCAUAAAUACAGAUGGCUGGAAUGCUUCUGUAUUCAAAGCUCCGGCGCCUGAGGAUGGGUCUGCGGCCUAUCAGGUUGUAGUCAGGGUCAAGACCUGACUAGCCAGCGACGGGUACGGGCCUUGAGAGAGGUCGCCCGGAGAUGGACUCUGAGACACGAGUCCAGGCCCUACGGGGCGCAGCAGGCGCGAAAACUUCGCAAUGCAGGAAACCGUGACGAGGGAACUCCAAGUGUCUAUGCAUUGCAUAGACUGUUUUUUAGCCUAAAUAGCUAUUAGAGUAAGGGGUGGGCAAGACCGGUGCCAGCCGCCGCGGUAACACCGGCACCUCGAGUGGUAGCCACUAUUAUUGGGCCUAAAGCGUUCGUAGCCGGUUUGGUAAAUUCUUGGGUAAAUCGUACCGCUUAACGGUGCGGAUUCCGGGGACACUACCAGACUUGAGACCGGGGGAGAUCAGAGGUACUUGCGGGGGAGCGGUGAAAUGUUGUAAUCCCGCAGGGACCACCAGUGGCGAAGGCGUCUGAUCAGAACGGCUCUGACGGUGAGGAACGAAACCCUGGGGCGCAAACGGGAUUAGAUACCCCGGUAGUCCAGGGCGUAAACGCUGCUGACUUGGUGUUGGGGAUCCUACGAGGAUGUCCAGUGCUGGCGCGAAGGUAUUAAGUCAGCCGCCUGGGGAGUACGGUCGCAAGACUGAAACUUAAAGGAAUUGGCGGGGGAGCACUGCAACGUGUGGAGCGUGCGGUUUAAUUGGAUUCAACGCCGGAAAACUCACCGGGGGCGACGAUUACAUGAAGGCCAGGUUGAUGACCUUGCCUGAUUUUUCGAGAGGUGGUGCAUGGCCGCCGUCAGUUCGUACCGUAAGGCGUUCUGUUAAGUCAGAUAACGAACGAGACCCUCAUUGCCAUUUGCUAGGCUCUUCUCAGGAAGGGUUGCACUAUGGCGAUACCGCCACUGCUGAAGUGGAGGAAGGAGGGGGCAACGGUAGGUCAGUAUGCCCCGAAUCUCCCGGGCUACACGCGCGCUACAAAGGGCAGGACAAUGGGCUUCGACGCCGAAAGGCGGAGGCAAUCCCGAAACCUGCUCGUACUUCGGAUUGAGGGCUGCAAUUCGCCCUCAUGAAGCUGGAAUCCGUAGUAAUCGCGGGUCAACAUCCCGCGGUGAAUAUGCCCCUGCUCCUUGCACACACCGCCCGUCAAACCACCUUAGUUGGGUCUGGACGAGGGUUUGUCUUCUGACACGCUCGAAUCUGGGUUCAGCGAGGAGGGUUAAGUCGUAACAAGGUAUCCGUAGGGGAACCUGCGGAUGGAUCACCUCCUAAG
rnacentral:rRNA from 1 species